rnacentral:rRNA from 1 species
CCUACGGGAGGCAGCAGUGAGGAAUAUUGCACAAUGGAGGAAACUCUGAUGCAGCCAUGCCGCGUGAAUGAAGAAGGUUUUAGGAUUGUAAAGUUCUUUCAGUGGUGAGAAUAGUGAUGUUAACCACAGAAGAAGUCCCGGUUAACUCCGCGCCAGCAGCCGCGGUAAUACGAAGGGACCUAGCGUAGUUCGGAAUUACUGGGCUUAAAGAGUUCGUAGGUGGUUAAAAAAGUUGGUUGUGAAAUCCCGAAGCUUAACUUCGGAACUGCAAUCAAAACUUUUUAGCUAGAGUAUGAUAGAGGAAAGCAGAAUUUCUAGUGUAGAGGUGAAAUUCGUAGAUAUUAGAAAGAAUACCAAUUGCGAAGGCAGCUUUCUGGAUCAUUACUGACGCUGAGGAACGAAAGCAUGGGUAGCGAAGAGGAUUAGAUACCCUCGUAGUCCAUGCCGUAAACGAUGUGUGUUAGACGUUGGAAAUUUAUUUUCAGUGUCGCAGCGAAAGCAGUAAACACACCGCCUGGGGAGUACGACCGCAAGGUUAAAACUCAAAUGAAUUGACGG